GACCUUGUGGCACAAUGGUAGUGCAUCUGACUCCAGAUCAGAAGGUUUGCGUGUUCAAAUCAUGUCAGGGUCA